rnacentral:rRNA from 1 species
CAGCAGCCGCGGUAAUACGGGGGGUGCAAGCGUUAUUCGGAAUUAUUGGGCGUAAAGGGUGCGUAGGCGGUUUUGUAAGUCAGCUGUGAAAUCCCGGGGCUUAACCCCGGAACUGCAUUUGAUACUGCAAGACUUGAGUAUGGGAGAGGAGAGCGGAAUUCCUGGUGUAGAGGUGAAAUUCGUAGAUAUCAGGAGGAACACCGGUGGCGAAGGCGGCUCUCUGGACCAAUACUGACGCUGAGGCACGAAGGCGUGGGGAGCAAACAGGAUUAGAUACCCUGGUAGUCCACGCAGUAAACGUUGAUCACUUGGUGUUGCGGGUAUUGACCCCUGCGGCGCCGUAGCUUACGCGUUAAGUGAUCCGCCUGGGGAGUACGGUCGCAAGAUUAAAACUCAAAGGAAUUGACGG